rnacentral:rRNA from 1 species
UACGUAGGGGGCGAGCGUUGUCCGGAGUUACUGGGCGUAAAGGGCGCGUAGGCGGUCUGCGAAGUUCAGAGUGACAGUCACCAGCUUAACUGGUGAAGGACGCGUGAAAACUGAUAGACUUGAGAGCGCGAGAGGGACACGGAAUUCCGGGUGGAGCAGUGAAAUGCGUAGAGAUCCGGAGGAACACCGAAGGCGAAGGCAGUGUCCUGGCGCGUAUCUGACGCUGAGGCGCGAAAGCCAGGGGA